GACGCUGAAGAGAGGAGCUUGCUCUUCUUGGAUGAGUUGCGAACGGGUGAGUAACGCGUAGGUAACCUGCCUUGUAGCGGGGGAUAACUAUUGGAAACGAUAGCUAAUACCGCAUAACAAUGGAUGACACAUGUCAUUUAUUUGAAAGGGGCAAUUGCUCCACUACAAGAUGGACCUGCGUUGUAUUAGCUAGUAGGUGAGGUAACGGCUCACCUAGGCGACGAUACAUAGCCGACCUGAGAGGGUGAUCGGCCACACUGGGACUGAGACACGGCCCAGACUCCUACGGGAGGCAGCAGUAGGGAAUCUUCGGCAAUGGGGGCAACCCUGACCGAGCAACGCCGCGUGAGUGAAGAAGGUUUUCGGAUCGUAAAGCUCUGUUGUAAGUCAAGAACGAGUGUGAGAGUGGAAAGUUCACACUGUGACGGUAGCUUACCAGAAAGGGACGGCUAACUACGUGCCAGCAGCCGCGGUAAUACGUAGGUCCCGAGCGUUGUCCGGAUUUAUUGGGCGUAAAGCGAGCGCAGGCGGUUUGAUAAGUCUGAAGUUAAAGGCUGUGGCUCAACCAUAGUUCGCUUUGGAAACUGUCAAACUUGAGUGCAGAAGGGGAGAGUGGAAUUCCAUGUGUAGCGGUGAAAUGCGUAGAUAUAUGGAGGAACACCGGUGGCGAAAGCGGCUCUCUGGUCUGUAACUGACGCUGAGGCUCGAAAGCGUGGGGAGCGAACAGGAUUAGAUACCCUGGUAGUCCACGCCGUAAACGAUGAGUGCUAGGUGUUGGAUCCUUUCCGGGAUUCAGUGCCGCAGCUAACGCAUUAAGCACUCCGCCUGGGGAGUACGACCGCAAGGUUGAAACUCAAAGGAAUUGACGGGGGCCCGCACAAGCGGUGGAGCAUGUGGUUUAAUUCGAAGCAACGCGAAGAACCUUACCAGGUCUUGACAUCCCGAUGCUAUUUCUAGAGAUAGAAAGUUACUUCGGUACAUCGGUGACAGGUGGUGCAUGGUUGUCGUCAGCUCGUGUCGUGAGAUGUUGGGUUAAGUCCCGCAACGAGCGCAACCCCUAUUGUUAGUUGCCAUCAUUCAGUUGGGCACUCUAGCGAGACUGCCGGUAAUAAACCGGAGGAAGGUGGGGAUGACGUCAAAUCAUCAUGCCCCUUAUGACCUGGGCUACACACGUGCUACAAUGGUUGGUACAACGAGUUGCGAGUCGGUGACGGCAAGCUAAUCUCUUAAAGCCAAUCUCAGUUCGGAUUGUAGGCUGCAACUCGCCUACAUGAAGUCGGAAUCGCUAGUAAUCGCGGAUCAGCACGCCGCGGUGAAUACGUUCCCGGGCCUUGUACACACCGCCCGUCACACCACGAGAGUUUGUAACACCCGAAGUCGGUGAGGUAACCUUUNNAGCCAGCC
rnacentral:rRNA from 1 species